rnacentral:tRNA from 1 species
GGGGAGGUGGCUCAGUGGCAGAACACUCACCUGGGGUGAGAGGCCCUGGGUUCAACCCCAGCUCUUCA